rnacentral:rRNA from 1 species
UACGUAGGGGGCGAGCGUUGUCCGGAGUUACUGGGCGUAAAGGGCACGCAGGCGGUGCGGCGCGUUUCGCGUGACAGCGGAGGGCUUAACUCUCCGAGGAUGCGAAAGACGGCGGCACUUGAGGGCCAGAGAGGGACACGGAAUUCCGGGUGGAGUGGUGAAAUGCGUAGAGAUCCGGAGGAACACCGAAGGCGAAGGCAGUGUCCUGGCUGGUGACUGACGCUCAGGCACGAAAGCGUGGGGAGCAAACAGG